ensembl:lncRNA
AUGUCUCUAGUCUUCUGUCCAAAUAUUCUGAUGUUUCUAGCUUUUGUCCUCUGGGGUGUUUCUGAAGGAUCUGUGAGUGAGACGGUCUGUUGUUGUGCUCUUUAUUUUCUGAGACCUCUCCUGUUGCUCUGGGCAGCUCCGUAUAUUUAUCAUUUUACAGGCAAAAUCAAAUCAUUGAUUCUGAAAUACAGUUACGUGGUGGAAUAUUUAGUUCUCUCAGUUGUUGUUUAUUCAGCUCUUUUUACAAGUGCUUGGCAAAAACUUCUGAAUUAUGAUGUGUUUGAAAGAGCCAUGAUAAUAGUGCUGUUUGUGAUAGUGUUUGUGUGCUGCCUCUGCAAAAUCAUUUACCGUAAGUAUUUCUGUGUGAUUCACAUCUCAGAGUCUGAAUCACACUGAUCUGAACGUCCUUCAUCACUUCACAAUCUAUGUGACACAUUUCUCCAAACACGUCACCGGUCUCAAAACAGUUUACACUUGUAAUUAUUCUAAACAGAUUGUACGUUUUCAAUCAUUUCAUACAAAUCACAAAUCAUGUCAAUCAUUUUCUCAAAACACUUCACAAAAUGCUCUGAUGUUCUCAUAACAGUUAAUACAGGCAAUUAAAACUUUAAAAUAUCAGGAAAAUAUCUCAGGAAAUGCUGUGUUCCUAAUUGUUCACACAUUUAACACGAUUGCUUUAACAAUAAAAAGGGAAAGUAUACAAAAAGCA